rnacentral:pre_miRNA from 1 species
CAUCUGACUUUCCUCCCGCGCAGCAUAUAAGCGAUUCUCGGGAGACAAGUGAGAUGUC